rnacentral:rRNA from 1 species
ACGAACGCUGGCGGCGUGCUUAACACAUGCAAGUCGCACGGAAAGGCCCUGCUUUUGUGGGGUGCUCGAGUGGCGAACGGGUGAGUAACACGUGAGUAACCUGCCCUUGACUUUGGGAUAACUUCAGGAAACUGGGGCUAAUACCGGAUAGGAGCUCCUGCUGCAUGGUGGGGGUUGGAAAGUUUCGGCGGUUGGGGAUGGACUCGCGGCUUAUCAGCUUGUUGGUGGGGUAGUGGCUUACCAAGGCUUUGACGGGUAGCCGGCCUGAGAGGGUGACCGGCCACAUGGGGACUGAGAUACGGCCCAGACUCCUACGGGAGGCAGCAGUGGGGAAUAUUGCACAAUGGGCGGAAGCCUGAUGCAGCAACGCCGCGUGCGGGAUGACGGCCUUCGGGUUGUGAACCGCUUUCGCCUGUGACGAAGCGUGAUUGACGGUAAUGGGUAAAGAAGCACCGGCUAACUACGUG